UAACGCGUGAGGAACCUGCCUCAAAGAGGGGGACAACAGUUGGAAACGACUGCUAAUACCGCAUAAGCCCACGGCUCGGCAUCGAGCAGAGGGAAAAGGAGCAAUCCGCUUUGAGAUGGCCUCGCGUCCGAUUAGCUAGUUGGUGAGGUAAUGGCCCACCAAGGCGACGAUCAGUAGCCGGACUGAGAGGUUGAACGGCCACAUUGGGACUGAGAUACGGCCCAG
rnacentral:rRNA from 1 species